rnacentral:misc_RNA from 1 species
AAUCGAUUUUGUGCUGCAGUACUUCCUGCAAUAUGAGAAACGUAACACAAGAGGUGAUUUCUUCUUCCCUUUCUCUAAAGCUUGGUUCGCGUCAUUUAGGGCCCACCUAUCUAUUGGUGUAGGAAAAGUUCGUCUAACGCGUUCCUCGACAUCUUGUGGUGUGUGUGGAGGAGGACGUCCGCAAAGCAUCCCUAGCAUUCGAAGAAUCAAGCUUUCCACAUAGUCAAGGGCAUCUUGUCUUGCCUGUAAACUUGGAUGAACUUGUUCUAAU